rnacentral:lncRNA from 1 species
GCCAACGUCCGUUCCCUUCCGCUACGGCAUCUCUAGUGCUGCUCAUCAGCACUGCCCCACCUUUCUUCCUCGUUGUAGCUAUUUACCUUCCUCUUCUGCUACAACUUCCUCUUCUGCUACAGCUUCCUCCUCUAUUGCAGUUUCCUCCUUUGCUGUAGUAGCAUCAUUGCAACAUUGCUGUAGAUUUCUUCUCUACUGUCGCAGCCGUCGUAAUCGCAACCACGACCAACGUCGUUGAGAAAAGCGAAGCUUCGCUCUUGCCUUCGGCCAGCGACCAACGUCGCUGAGAAAAGUGAAGCUUCACCCUUCGGCCAGCGACCAACGCCGUUGUAUUUCUAAGAGGCUCCGUGGUCAAUCCUCAUCUUCCUCACCGCGGUAGUCUUCACUAAUCUGUCAACAUUUGGCAGACUUAAGGAGAAUGAAGGGAACGCCUGUGCCAUCAUAGCAACAGCAAUUGCAGCAGCAGCAGUAGUGAUCUACACUUAUCUUACUCACGAAGCCUCUUGCUUUAAACCAUUUUUUGCACCGAUCCAAGAUUGGUAUCCUUGUUAGGAGCACCAUCUUGCGGGGGCAUGAUAGAAGAUAAGAUUUCCCCAACUUGAUAGAGGAUAAGAUUUCCCCAAUUAUAUGAGGAAAUCUCUCUAUUCUGUUUAUUCUGUUGAGGGAAAUCCUUCCUCCUAAUCUGUAUAAAUAGGAGAGGGAACAUGUUAAUAGAUUUAAGCUAAAGCUAUUUCAUUUCUACAAUAAAGCUUCUUCAAUUAUUGUUCUUAUCUUCUAUUAUUUCUAUCAUGGUAUCAGAGCCGCUUGCCUAGAGCAAGCUCUCUUCUCGCUGCCAAUUCAUCAUUGGUGUUGCCACUCUACGCCAACGUCCGUUCCCUUCCGCUACGGCAUCUCUAGUGCUGCUCAUCAGCACUGCCCCACCUUUCUUCCUCGUUGUAGCUAUUUACCUUCCUCUUCUGCUACAACUUCCUCUUCUGCUACAGCUUCCUCCUCUGUUGCAGUUUCCUCCUUUGCUGUAGUAGCAUCAUUGCAACAUUGCUGUAGAUUUCUUCUCUACUGUCGCAGCCGUCGUAAUCGCAACCACGACCAACGUCGUUGAGAAAAGCGAAGCUUCGCUCUUGCCU